CUUGGAGGCCAGCAGUCACCACACGGUGGUCAGGACUGAACACAGACAGCUCAUCAUGGAGCUUGGGUGGAGCUGGUUUGUUCUGCUUGUCAUCUUGAAAGGUGUCCAGGCUGAAGUGCAGCUGGUGGAGUCUGGUGGAGGCUUGGUGCAGCCUGGUGGGUCCCUGAGACUCUCCUGCGUGGCCUCAGGAUUCAAUUUUGGGGGUUACAGCAUGCACUGGAUCCGCCAGGCUCCAGGGAAGGGGCUGGAGUGGAUCACAUUCAUCUAUUAUGAUGGUAGUGAUAAGCAAUAUGCAGACUCCGUGAAGGGCCGAUUCACCAUCUCCAGAGACAACAACAAGAACACCCUGUAUCUGCAAAUGAGCAGCCUGAGGCCGGAGGAUACGGCUCUUUAUUACUGUGCAAAAGACACAGUCCAUGAUGUUGGAUGUAAAGUCAACCCUGAAAGUCAUCCUCUAGAAGAUAUUGAAAUUCUGCCCAAGAUUGAGCAUGGACAAAAGAAAUAG